CCUACGGGGGGCAGCAGUGGGGAAUAUUGCACAAUGGGGGAAACCCUGAUGCAGCGACGCCGCGUGAGUGAAGAAGCGCCUCGGCGCGUAAAGCUCUGUCAGCAGGAACGAUAAUGACGGUACCUGAAGAAGAAGCCCCGGCUAACUACGUGCCAGCAGCCGCGGUAACACGGAGGGGGCAAGCGUUAUCCGGAUUUACUGGGGGUAAAGGGGGCGUAGACGGCGUGGCAAGUCUGGAGUGAAAGGCCGGGGCCCAACCCCGGGACCGCUCUGGAAACGGCACGGCUGGAGUGCGGGAGAGGUAGGCGGAAUGCCGGGUGUAGCGGUGAAAUGCGUAGAUAUUAGGAGGAACAC
rnacentral:rRNA from 1 species